UCAAAGAUUAAGCCAUGCAUGUCUAAGUACAUGCCGUAUUAAGGCGAAACCGCGAAUGGCUCAUUAAAUCAGUUAUGGUUCCUUGGAUCGUACCUUACUACUUGGAUAACUGUGGCAAUUCUAGAGCUAAUACAUGCAGCAGAGCUCCGACCUUGCGGAACGAGCGCUUUUAUUAGACCAAAACCAAUCGGACCUCGUGUCCGUCUCUUGUGGUGACUCUGUAUAACUUUGGGCUGAUCGCACGGGCUCGUCCCGGCGACGUAUCUUUCAAGUGUCUGCCUUAUCAACUGUCGAUGGUAGGUUACGCGCCUACCAUGGUCGUAACGGGUGACGGGGAAUCAGGGUUCGAUUCCGGAGAGGGAGCCUGAGAAACGGCUACCACAUCCAAGGAAGGCAGCAGGCGCGCAAAUUACCCACUCCCAGAACGGGGAGGUAGUGACGAAAAAUAACAAUACGGGACUCUUUUGAGACCCCGUAAUUGGAAUGAGUACACUCUAAAUCCUUUAACGAGGAUCCAUUGGAGAGCAAGUCUGGUGCCAGCAGUCGCGGUAAUUCCAGCUCCAAUAGCGUAUAUUAAAGUUGUUGCGGUUAAAAAGCUCGUAGUUGGAUCUCAGCUCUGGCCGGACGGUCCACCUACCGGUGGUUACUGUUCGCUGCCGAGCGUUACGCAGGCGCUGUCUGAUGAUCUUUACCGGUUGUCCGGCGGUGCCUACACGUUUACUUUGAAAAAAUUAGAGUGCUCAACGCAGGCGUGACGCCUGAAUAAUUGUGCAUGGAAUAAUGGAAUAGGACCUCGGUUCUAUUUUGUUGGUUUUCGGAACACGAGGUAAUGAUUAAGAGGGACAGACGGGGGCAUUCGUAUUGCGACGCUAGAGGUGAANUUCUUGGACCGUCGCAAGAGGAAUUGACGGAAGGGCACCACCAGAAAUGGAGCCUGCGGCUUAAUUUGACUCAACACGGGAAAACUUACCCGGCCCGGACACAGGAAGGAUUGACAGAUUAAGAGCUCUUUCUUGAUUCUGUGGGUGGUGGUGCAUGGCCGUUCUUAGUUGGUGGGGUGACUUNGUCUGGUUAAUUNCCGAUAACGAACGAGACUCUAGCCUACUAAAUAGACGCUCCGGUCCUCUUUUGCCGGACGUUCUUCUUAGAGGGACAAGCGGCGUUUAGCCGCACGAGACAGAGCAAUAACAGGUCUGGGAUGCCCUUAGAUGUCCGGGGCCGCACGCGCGCUACAUUGAAGGAAUCAGCGUGUGCUUUCCCUGUCCGAAAGGACUGGGUAACCCGUUGAACCUCCUUCGUGCUGGGGAUUGGCGAAUGUAAUUCACGCCAUGAACGAGGAAUUCCCAGUAAGCACGAGUCAUCAGCUCGUGUUGAUUACGUCCCUGCCCUUUGUCCACACCGCCCGUCGCUACUACCGAUUGAAUGAUUUAGUGAGGUCUUCGGACUGGCGCUCGGAUUGGCCUUCGCGGUCGAGCCGGUGUGCCGGAAAGAUGACCAAACUUGAUCAUU
rnacentral:rRNA from 1 species